UAUUCUCUCAUUUUUAUAAGGAUGAGCUUGAGCAUAGAAUGACUAAAUUAACCUUGAAGAUUGUAUUCAUUCGGUGUACAAUUUUGAGAAAAUGACAAAAUGGUCUCUAAUAUUUAGUAGCAAGUUCAAAGUAGUCCUUUAAUUAUUACUUGAGCAGUUUGUUCCUUUAAUUUUGUAAAAAAGGAGCACUUUUAAUCUCUAUCAGAAUUUAUCAAACUUUAAUUGUCAAAUUUAAUAAGAACUGUAAGAAAAAAGAUCUACUGCUAGAAAAACCAGAAAUUUGCGCCAAAAUCCCAGAAGCCACAAUAUAUAUAUAAAAAAAAAAAAAAAAAAAAUUAAACCUCAAAAACUUGCACUAAACUCUUCAUAAACUUGCAUCAAACUAUUAUAAUAAACAAAAAAUAACAUAAACUACAAAAUUGUACUUUCAGAUACGCGUUCCGGUUAGAUAUUUUCUAUUUUCAUAAUUCUGAUUAAAUAAAAUAAUCAAAAUUUGAUAAAUAUUUAACGGAGAUAAAAAAUACUCACUUAAAAGGACCAAGCUACUUUGAUCCUACUACUAAAAAUAAGGAACCAUUUCUGUCAUUUUCUCGUACAAUUUUUGGAAAUAGCGAGUAAAUACAAGGACACAAACGUAAAACGAGGACACACAAUAGGGUACUAUAAAAUAACCUUAACUGUGCCGAAAAGAAAUUCUCAUGAACUCUAGACUUUAAAGAAAUGAGGCAAAGAGAGAGGUAUUUGGGGAGUCUUUAAUGGUGGUUGCCCUCUCUCUCUUUGCCGUUGAUUUCCUUUUCCCAUUUUGCUAAGAAGAAAACGAAAUAAUAAACCGCCAUUGAAGAGUCUGUUUGGUUAAGCUGUUGUUCUGAAACUUUCGAUGAAAAUCGCAAGUUUCUACAGUAUGUAUACAUACACACACAUCUAUAUAUAUAUAAAAGCAAGCAGGUUGAAGGGUUUAGGGUUUUAAGAUCUAACCCUUUUGCUUCUUUUUUUUCUUCUUCUUUUUCCUCCUCAUUGUCAUCUUCAACACAACAACAUUAUGGCUAUUAUUAUUAUUAUUGUAAAGGCUGAGAGGCUAUGAUGAUUAAAUAGUUGUCUAGAGUUCAUAAUGGGGCAAGUGGAGCGGGGGCCCGUAUCUUGGCGGGGCGACCCGGGUAAGGCCUACUUUGUUGUUGGUAGUGCAAACCCAGGGUCUGCAGCCAUGGCGGGUGCAUUGUCUCUUUUGCCCCUCAUUUUACACAUCUGAGCCUCAAAAUUCCCCCAAAACAAUAUAGUAUAAUCGAAAACUUUUGAUUUUUUUUUUCAAAGGCUAAAACUUACUACUAUUAUUUAUGAUUGAGAAAUUCGAUAUUUCCUUUAAUGAAAGUCACAUUUGCUUUUCUUAUUGUUUUGCUGACUCUAUACUGUUUAGAGAUUUGUGUACAUGUCUUUUUUGAAGUCAUUAUACUUAUUAAAUUUUAUUGAAGGAACUUUUUCUUUUAAGUGACAUUUAACGAUAUUUUUUGAGUUUAUAAAAGGAAAUUAGAAACGAGAAAAAUAAUAGAGAAAAAUAAACGAUGGCUACCUGUUGUUAAAAAGAAAAUAUGACAUUCAUGGGUGUAUAAUCUGUAAAAUUGUUGUUCCUUCCGUCCCAAAAAGAUUGUCUUAUUUAGAAAUAAUUUUAACUUUAUAAGAAGAUGUACAACUAUACAAAUAUGUAAGGCUUGUUUUGGCCCAUACAAUUCAAAAUUCUUCCUUUCUUUCUUAGAUUUCGUACUGAGUUAAACUAAGAUAAUUUUUUUGGGACGGAGGGAGUAGUACGUAUUAAUUUGUAAAUUAUGAAUUUCAUAAUUGCAUAAUCUAUACUACUGAUUAAGGAAGAAAAAUUGUGGUUCUAGUAGAAUUUGUAUAAUCCUUCAUAUCCUUUUACCUUUGGUUUUAACAUAAAAUAAAUUUAUUUAGAAAUUAUUAAUUUUAAAUCCUUUCUGAUUGCAAAUGAUUUUUAUGUGACUAUGUUAUGGAUAUUCACUAUGAGCUGUGUUUCUUGCACUUUUUCCUUACUGGUUUCUUAGUCAUUAUGUUUUUCCUUUGGCAAAUCAGAAUCAUUGUGAGCAUCAUUACUGAUGCUUAUUUGUAGGCUGUGAUGAUAUAAGCUUAUUGAGUUAAUCGGGUUUUGGUCAAGUGGAACCUUAUCUUGGCAGGGCAAACCAAAAUGUCUUGUAAGUGGAGUAACGAGUGUUGGAAUGACAUAGGUCCUAAACCCUACAGUGAUUGAUGUUGUUGUUGUUGUUGUUGUUGUUGUAUGCUAUUCUGGUUUGCAGCCAUGGCGGUGUCCCUUUCCUUUACCCGAUUUUGUGAUUGAUCUGAGCAGUGGCGGAGCCAGGAUUUUCAUCCAGGGGGUUCAAAAAUUCUAAAAGGCAACCAGUGGACUAAAAUGGUGAAGCAAUAGAACUCAUUUUCACAUUGAGAUUGAGUGUGUGAUGGUUUGAAGGCAGUGACCAAGGUUUCCAAUAAGGAUUAUGUUUGUGGACAUUCUUGAUCAAAGCAAGUAUAUGCUGUCUGAAGAAAAGUGGCCAAGCUGAAAAAGGAUUCUUACAAUGUGAAGCACAAUUUGCAAGGAAUGUAAAAAAACAACUGGAGUGAUGAAAAGCUUUUUGGAAUGGAAUGUUGAAUCAAGCACUCUGCUGCAGAUUGUAGAAAGUAUUGCUCUAUGACUUACGUUUUCUAGUGAUGUUCAUGAGCAGAAAACCUUUUCCUUUUCUUGUUGUAUUAUGGCAAAUAGCUAAGUUUUUAUGCUAGUCAGCAGGGGAAAUAUUUGUUAUUUGGAAGUCGGCAUCCUUGAUAUGACUUUUUUUUUUUUAAAAUAAAUUUCUAGAAAAGUUGUUUUAUUUCAUAUUGCCAGUCUCAAGCUCGAACAAAUGAAGGUAUUAAUUCAACUCAUCUACUGUGAGCUCAUAGUGUUAGUCACAGCUUGAACAAAUGAAGGUUUUAAUUCAACCCAUCUAUGUGAGCAUUCUCAAUGUGGCAUGUUGUUUUAAUCCAGAAACGAAGAAGCCUAAUGACUAGGUUUUAUAAUCUUAA